UACUCCCCAACCAAGAGGGACUGCUGGAUGGCAACGAGGACUGCUGUUCGGCGACGGGGAAGAACGGCUCAGACAGAGAUCGACGACGGCGAGACGAUGGCGUGAAGACAGCUCUCUGCAACGCCCAUGAUGGAGAUCGACGACAUCCUUCACGUCGACUUGACGUCGGCGCUCUCAGCUCUCUGGCUCUCUCAAGCUCUCAUUCUCUUAGGGUCUCAGG